UACGAAGGGAGCUAGCGUUGUUCGGAAUCACUGGGCGUAAAGCGCACGUAGGCGGAUGUGUCAGUCAGGGGUGAAAUCCCGGAGCUCAACUUCGGAACUGCCUUUGAUACAGCACGUCUUGAGUCCGGAAGAGGUGGGUGGAAUUCCUAGUGUAGAGGUGAAAUUCGUAGAUAUUAGGAAGAACACCAGUGGCGAAGGCGGCCUUCUGGACCAAUACUGACGCUCAUGCACGAAAGCGUGGGGAGCAAACAGG
rnacentral:rRNA from 1 species